CGCAGAGUCCAAAGGAGGCUCCAGUCUCCAAGCUGUCAGCACAGAGCCCGCUGUGGGGCUCGAACCCACGAACUGAUCAUGACCUGAGCCGAAGUCAGACACUCAACCGACUGAGCCACUCAGGUGCCCCCAAAUAAAUAAAUUUUUUCAAAAAUUUUAAAAAUUCAAUACAUCCUCACCAAAUUAAAUUGCAUCUUAUUCAUAAUUUCUUUAAGUGCUGAAUAACUUUCUUAUCGGAAAGCAAAUCUGUUAGAAUAUCCCAAAAUGCUUCACAUUUUCAAGUGGAUGAGCAUGAAGAACUUCCUAUUACUUCUAAUAGGGAUGAAAAACAACAACAAAAAUUGGGUUACUUCCAAGCGGACAAAAGAUUAUUUAAAGAUGUAUUAUGCAAAUCUUCCUCAGCUAAAAGGAGGAAGUGCCUAAAAAAUUGGCUUAAACAUUUUGUGGAACAUCAUCUUCAUAUACGUUUGCCUAAAAGCUUUUUCCUUUCUAAAAUAGUUUGAUAAGACCUUGUGACAUUAGCCGGCACUAUGUAAAUAUGACUCAGUAUUUUCCGAGGAUGUCUAUGCCUAACAAAUAUAUCUAGGCUUCACUGAGCUGUGCUGUGAGGGAAAGAAGGAACAUUUCAUUUUCAUUUGCUAAAACUAAUAGACAUGUAUUUUACAGCUCUCUACUGCUGGGUUCAGGGUCCUUGCAACUCAACAACGCGUUCCCCAUACUGGGUUCUACAUGACAAUAAUUUAUUCAGAACAUUUGAAAUGCUGUUUCUCUUAAAAAUCAGGUCACAGGAGAACACUGAAAUCAGGCAAGGCAUUAAAACAAAUUUAAUGAAACUCUCAACAGAUAAGGCUGGCAGGACACGAGGCUCUGCGGCAGGAAGAGUAGUCCUGACUGCUUAUUAAGAUCAUCUCCUGCUGAGCAUUUUACCUCUUGUGUUGCUUUCUGCGUCCCCUACUGUCUUGUUUUUGUCAGGCACUUUUAACACAUUCUGUACUGCCCAGCAAAGAAAAAAGGGGGCAACCCAAACAAUAAAAUUACUUUUUAAAAAUAAUAAAAGGCGGAAUAACUGUCUUCUAAAUGACGGCACCUGGUACCUUCACCCAAGGCUUUCAAAGUUGUUCCCAACAAGCAAGAAUAGGAAACAACGUUCUGCGCCUAAUGGGUGCUCCAUACAGACCAGUACUAACGUGCCCAGGAAGGCCCUAACAGCUUUAGGGGCCUGCUUUUCUCUUACAGUAAAAGAACCAAAUGCGUGGGGUCGUGAUUUGACCCACGGAGACAUGAGUCUGUGGAGUAGGGAAGCAUUUUGAGAAGGGUUUGUUCUAUAUCAGAAAAAAAUAUUUCUGUACCACAAUCAAGAUGAGACCUCUUCUGGAGACAGGUUUUCAGUUAUAGAGGCCGGAACACCGGGCACGGGCACCACAGAACCGGCCCGUGGCUAAGCCUCAGCGGACUGUGACAUCCGCCCCCACACCCUGUUUGUACUCUGCCACCUGCACCCAGACGGCACCACCCACCCCCACCCCCCGCCUCUCCCCCACCUCCCUGCAUCCCCUACCCCCCCCCCCCCCCCGCCCCCUGCCAGCAACCCACCCCUAGUGCUUAGUUUCUAGGAUAGCAGCCAGUCUGCCCUCAUUUCCUUCCUGAACGUCUUGAAAAAAGGUUAAUUGAGCACUUUUGAAUGGUUGCUAUUUCUUGCAUCGGAUUAGGAUACAGCCUCUAAUACGUGCAGCAUUGAGGGGAUGCAAGUAGGAGAGAGCUGCACUACGUCCACAAGAAUGUUGAACAGACAUAUUUUUUGCUAGGUCCCAUGGAUUUAUGGAUUUAUCCACCUUUAGAUGGGGCGUGCUUAGUUACAAAGAUAGGCCGGCAUCGCCCCUUCUCACAGGACUGUGGCUGAGGGAAUGUCAGAUUCAGCCAUUUGUUUGGCCACCCAAAGCUACUUUUUGGCACUGUGAGUUGUUGCAGAAGUAUUCAUAUUGUUAUAAAUGCUAACAAUUUUAUUAGUAAUAAUAAUAUCAAUAAUGGCUAAAAUUUGUGGAAAUCUAUGUUUUAUAUGGAACUAUGUUUUCUUCUGUAAUUCUCACACACACAAAAAAACCCCUUAUACUUAUUAUCUCUAUUUAUCAGAUGGGAAAUUGAGGCUUACAAAGUUUAAGUACGUUUCCCAAGGUUGUAAAUAUUAUGUUAUAUGCAAACAGUACGUAAGGUUUUCAUGCUAAGUGUGAUGAGUUUUUGAGCAAAAGUUGGAUCGAAGUUAGGUCCUAUCAAUUCACCGUUUCUUGGCACCAUGAAAUGUUAACAAAUCUGAUGUUAAAGAAGUUCGGGGAAUGUUGCAUGCCACACCCCUUCCUGAAACUCACAAUGCACAAGAGCAUAGUAAUGACUCUAAGAUAUCCUGGAGAAAAGAAGCUUGUUUAUUUUGCUGAGAAUUUCCCAGGUUUGGAAAAACAGUGGAAAGCCGCCAAGGACAGUUUUGAUUCUGUGUAACGUCCCAUGUCUUCAUAGGUAUUUUGAUUGGCCCAUGCUGAUUUGCCAUUGGAGCGAAGUUUUGCAAGGUCAUUUCGGAGCCUUUCAUUCUCGUGUUCCAGUUUGUUAAUAGAUGUAUGCCUCGAAUGUUCCCUGUUAGUGAAGUCCAAACUCUAGAGAAUGGAAAAACCAUCACUGAAAAAACUGUUCCUUAUAAGGGAAUGAGUAUUUUCUGUGCACUUAGUUAGACAUGGCUGUCGUAAGGCCCUUUCAUCUGAGUCCAGUAACAUGGCUCUACCUUUGUGUGCCUCCUGAAGCCCUCUCCUGCCCUCAUCUCCUCACAACACGGACACUCAGCGACAGCUGCCACCGAACGCUUCACAACGAGAGCAAUGCAUCCACCACUGUCCGUGUUCACUUCUGCACUAGCCUUCUCUCUCUCUAGAACAGACUGGCUGGAUUUAAGGGUUUUCGUGUCUACAGGGUAUGCCUUCGAGCAUUAAUAAUAGAACCAGAAUUAAUACACAUUUCAAUUUUGGAAGAUUUCUUUGCUCUGAUUACAAUAAUAUAUGUCAUUAUAGAAAAUCACACAUCGAUUCCCCACUGUUGGGUGAUGAACAAUUAUCUACUAAAUCCAUACAGACUGGAGUCUGAUUCUGGACCAUUUGAGAGCAAAGAUGUAACAGUUGAAAUUGUGGCAGUACUAGUCUUCAGGAAUGCGGCUUCAUGAUGUAGUUUUACUAUCUGGUAUGCACCACCUAAUCUUAAUGUGUCCUAAGAAGGGGAUAUGAAACAUGUUCAGAUCACAAAAUGAGCGGUUUACAAAGCAAGAACAAAGAUUUCUGAUGAGUUUUGAAUUAAAUGCUGUAAGAAAUUUUA